GUUUUUUUCUGUACAGCAGAUAUUGCACUGCAGUAUUGAGAGGUGACAUGUGACUUAUUGUAACAUUGUUGUAUACGCAGACAGUUUCAUAACUGCAGUAUUGAGAGAGGUGACAUGUGAGACUUAUUGUAACAUUGUUGUAUACGCAGUCUCAUGAUAACUGCAGUAUUGAGAGAGGUGACAUGUGAGACUUAUUGUAACAUUGUUGUAUACGCAGUCUCAUGAUAACUGCAGUAUUGAGAGAGGUGACAUGUGAGACUUAUUGUAACAUUGUUGUAUACGCAGUCUCAUGAUAACUGCAGUAUUGAGAGAGGUGACAUGUGAGACUUAUUGUAACAUUGUUGUAUACGCAGUCUCAUGAUAACUGCAGUAUUGAGAGAGGUGACAUGUGAGACUUAUUGUAACAUUGUUGUAUACACAGACAGUUUCAUAACUACAGUACUGAGAGAGGUGACAUGUGAGACUUAUUGUAACAUUGUUGUAUACACAAUCUCAGGAUAACUACAUUAUGCUGCAGGUAAAGGACAGGAAUAACAGGCACAAUUAAUAAUGACUGUACAUAAGUAUGCUUUAACAAUUCUUAACUAAAUAUUUUAUAUGGUGUUUACUGUUCCUUGAAUGUGUCACUUUUACUCCACUGACUACAAUACAAAGUUUUAUGUAUUUGUUUUUAGAGUACAUUUUAUGUUUUUUUACACAAUUCUAAUACAUUAUUUCUACAGACUCCUCCUGACCCCUACUCCUAAGUCUUUAAAAAUAAAUGCUGGAGAUGAUGAAGUUAAUAAUAAAAUUCUACAACAACUAAGUUAUGCACAUUUUGUUUUAGAAAGACAGCGUUGUGAUACGCUCAGUGCGCUGUGAGUGAGAUGUUAAUGUCGCACUUAUAUCCCUUUAUCAGUGUUAUCAUUUUAUAAAUACAAUAAACGCUUUAGUUUUAUGAAAUAGAAUGUUUAAUUUUGUGCAGUAAAACAACUUUACAAUAUACUGUCAUUAUUUAUUUUGUCGUUGUGAAUUAAAUAAACAUUUUUCUUUGCACUAA